UCCGUAAUGGUCUAGUGGCUAGGAUUUGUCGCUCUCAUCAAUCUUGAAGAUCCGACAAGGCCGGGGUUCAAUUCCCCGUUACGGAA
rnacentral:tRNA from 1 species